UCACACAGCAGUGCGAGUGGGGAGGGCAUGGCGCUGCCUCGCCAGGGUGCAGAGCUCUGGGCUGAGACCCUCUCUGGAGAGAUGUACGCAGGCUUGUUUCCUGAUCUCACCCUGGUUUGCUUUGAGAAUUCAGUCACUUUGCUUUGUCCUGCAGCAGGAAGAGCUGAUGGAAAGCAAGAGUCUGCUGUACCAGGAAGGCAGCACAUGCCUGUGUCCUCAUGUAUGGGAAGCAUUAGGUCAUGGGCUGACCCAGUGGUUGAGCACCUGGUGAAGGGGUGUAGCCAGCCCUGGGAGUGCAGGUGGAAGCAAUUCACCUGUGUAACCCUGGGUCCACCCUUGCCUAAGCUCAUUUAAGGGCUGGCAGCCACAAAGGAAGCAUCUCUACUUGGAGAUCAUCAGGUUUGAUGAGCCCUGAUUCUUGGGAAGGGGGUGGGCAACGCCAAGGGCCAGAGUCCAGCCUGCAGCUCAGCAGUAUGUGGAGGAAUGGGCACAGGGUGGUGCUGAGCUGAGGGACCACAAACCACAGCAGCAAGAACACGUGUCCUGCUGGGCAGAUGAGGGCACUGAAAAAAUCGUUGCGCUGAAGACAGAAACCAGAACGAGCCACUUAUUUUUCAAACUCAUUGUUUUUAAUGCAGCUGUGAAACAUCAUAUAGGUAUGAAAACUGGAAAGGAAGAUAGGGCGGGGUGUGGGGUGAGGAUGUUUUACAUCUGUAAGAGCAGGGGAGGUUUUUCAAGUGUUAUUAUCUUUUGAUUUGAAGAUCUGUGGCAACGCUCCCUUGGAAAAUAGCCAUCAGCGUGAGGCACAGGGGAGCACGGAGGCCUGAAGAACAGAGGGUAAGCCAUGCUGUGAGGCCAUAAAAUGCUUGUUUUGAAAUGAUGCUGUGCCCCACGCUCCCAGGGAGCCGGCUCAUGUGGUGGGUGUGCAAAUCUUUCACUUAGUGAGCAUUACCCUUGCUCUCUCCACAACCCACCUCUCCAGCAAAGCAGUUUAAGCAGCUUUAGCUGUGCAGAUCUGCCAGGCUGUGUUUUUGAACUUCCUUCCACAGCUGAAGAGAAUCCAGCCCUAAAACUACUAAAGGCAACAGAGGCUGUCAGAAAUAGCAUCCAAAAUCAGCUCCUGCAGCAGGUAAGGAUCCCCUUCUGUCCCUGGCUUAGUACCAAGAACACUGACUGCUAGCUCUGCUUUGGAGGGGAUGGGGGAAGUUCAGAAGACACCCCCAGAGAGUACAGACUGAUUCCUGGUCUUCCAGGGAGAUUCCCUUCAGUAUUACAUUCCAGUUAAGCUAUUUGCAUUCUGGGUUUGAAUCCUCAGCGUGUAUUUAAUCUCUGUUAACGGUAUUUGGCAAAUUGAAGGGUUUGAAUGCUUUUAAAAGAUGCUCCAACGUUAAGUCUCCUGCUAUUGGAGGAUAUGAGCACAAACAAGACCUGCCAACGCUGCUGGGUCUGUGCUUCCUGGCACCCAACCGCAGCUGCUAUGUGCUCACCUCCCACAGUCACACAGUCAGUGCCCUCUAGUGCCUGCUGAAGCAUCCCAGCUCCUCCCAGAGAGCAGCGUGACGCAGGGGAUAGACAGCAUGUGAGAGGUCACAGAUUGUGAAACCAAACUCCAACACAGCUGCAGACAAACCACCCAAAACUUACAGACUGUAAUGAUUUACAAAGUGACCUGCGGAUCUUACAUCAAGACCAAGGCAAUGUUUCCCACCAAACU